UACGAGAGGCCCAAACGUUAUUCGGAAUUACUGGGCUUAAAGAGUCCGUAGGCGGCGCAGAAAGUAGGGUGUGAAAGCCCUCGGCUUAACCGAGGAAUUGCGCUCUAAACUACUGUGCUUGAGGAACCUAGAGGUGAGCGGAACUGAUGGUGGAGCGGUGAAAUGCGUUGAUAUCAUCAGGAACACCGGAGGCGAAGGCGGCUCACUGGGGGUUAUCUGACGCUGAGGGACGAAAGCCAGGGGAGCGAACGGG
rnacentral:rRNA from 1 species